AGACCUACGGGACGCAGCAGUGGGGAAUAUUGCACAAUGGGGGAAACCCUGAUGCAACGACGCCGCGUGAGUGAAGAAGUAUUUCGGUACGUAAAGCUCUAUCAGCAGGGAAGAAAAUGACGGUACCUGACUAAGAAGCCCCGGCUAACUACGUGCCAGCAGCCGCGGUAAUACGUAGGGGGCAAGCGUUAUCCGGAUUUACUGGGUGUAAAGGGAGCGUAGGUGGCAGGGCAAGUCAGAUGUGAAAACCCGGGGCUCAACUCCGGGAGUGCAUUUGAAACUGUCCAGCUAGAGUGCAGGAGAGG
rnacentral:rRNA from 1 species